UACGUAGGGGGCAAGCGUUGUCCGGAUUUAUUGGGCGUAAAGAGCGUGUAGGCGGUUUUACAGGUCCGCUGUGAAAACUCGAGGCUCAACCUCGAGCUGUCGGUGGAAACCGUAAGGCUAGAGUCCGGAAGAGGAGAGUGGAAUUCCCAGUGUAGCGGUGAAAUGCGUAGAUAUUGGGAGGAACACCAGUGGCGAAGGCGGCUCACUGGACCGGUACUGACGCUGAUGCGCGAAAGCGUGGGGAGCAAACGGG
rnacentral:rRNA from 1 species